UACGGAGGGGGCUAGCGUUGUUCGGAAUUACUGGGCGUAAAGCGCACGUAGGCGGCUUUGCAAGUUAGAGGUGAAAGCCCGGGGCUCAACUCCGGAAUUGCCUUUAAAACUGCAUCGCUAGAAUUGUGGAGAGGUAAGUGGAAUUCCGAGUGUAGAGGUGAAAUUCGUAGAUAUUCGGAAGAACACCAGUGGCGAAGGCGACUUACUGGACACAUAUUGACGCUGAGGUGCGAAAGCGUGGGGAGUAAACAGG
rnacentral:rRNA from 1 species